rnacentral:rRNA from 1 species
AUAGAUCACAACAAACCAAGUACCCAACUAAGCAAGGAAAAUAAACAUGGAGCUGGGGUUGGAGCCGGAGCUGGAGAGCAGCGCGGUGGUCGCGAUCACGGAGGCCAGCCUCGACCGGGAGAAGCUGCUGGCGGCGCUUCUGCUGUGUGGCGUACUUGAGGCCGCUGGGGCGCUGUGGCUGCUCGUCUACCAGGGUCCCGGCGGCGUCUUCCUCCACGGUGGCAAGGUGGUCUUCUAUUCCUACUACACCAUGGUCGUUGUCCUGGUACUCUUUGGGUGCGCAGAGGCCUGGACUGGCCUCUAGGUAAAUCGACAUCCGCGUGACCGGCGAGCCGCCGGGAAGACCGCCCUGUGGUGCUCCAUCCUGCCCCUUGUCCUCGUUGCGGGCCUCGGAGGUUUUGCAUCCGCCAUCCCCAAAUAGUUCCCGCCUUUAUAAUUUUUUGUACUUAUGUUGUGAUUUCUUUUCAUUUUGAGUGGUAGUACGAAUCUGUAUCCCCCUCCCCCCCCU